GAUGAACGCUGGCGGCGUGCCUAAUACAUGCAAGUCGAGCGAACAGACGAGGAGCUUGCUCCUCUGACGUUAGCGGCGGACGGGUGAGUAACACGUGGAUAACCUACCUAUAAGACUGGGAUAACUUCGGGAAACCGGAGCUAAUACCGGAUAAUAUAUUUAACCGCAUGGUUCAAUAGUGAAAGACGGUUUUGCUUUCACUUAUAGAUGGAUCCGCGCCUCAUUAGCUAGUUGGUAAGGUAACGGCUUACCAAGGCGACGAUGCGUAGCCGACCUGAGAGGGUGAUCGGCCAAACUGGAACUGGGCAAGGCUCAAGACUCCUACGGGAGGAAGCAGUAGGGAAUCUUGCGCAAUGGGCGAAAGCCUGACGGAGCAACGCCGCGUGAGUGAUGAAGGUCUUCGGAUCGUAAACCUCUGUUAUUAGGGAAGAACAAAUGUGUAAGUAACUAUGCACGUCUUGACGGUACCUAAUCAGAAAGCCACGGCUAACUACGUG
rnacentral:rRNA from 1 species